UUUGUUCACAACACACAUGACUAGAAGUUCCUCGUGUUUUGCAUACAAAGACAGGCAUGAACUCCCACUUUCGACUGUGUGGGUCUCUUACAUUUUAGUCCUCCGCGCUCCAACCCGCCAAAGCGGGGGCAAAAGAGCGGGGAAACAUGGCGAGAGACAGAUGUAUGUUUCUUCGGGAGCAACAAAAUUUGUUGAGGUUACGUGCUAUUAAGUGUAAAAGUAAGCUAACAUGACCUAUGGCUCUCUUCCAAUGAAUGACGGCUUGCUUCGGCCAUUUAAAGGCAUAUGUAUGGACUGGACACUGCCGUUCAGAAGAAUCCUCCCUCUCCUCAAUCAAAAUCGCAAAAGGAAUCGUCAGCCCUCUACACUUCUGCUCAUCAGCAAGCUCCAGUUGCUAUGCUCCCGGUGGUUCCUCUGAUAGUGUACCAGUUACACUAGGCGUUGAGGAGGAAAGAGGAAGCUCAGGUCUGGCACCAUGAUUUACCAGCGCCGUGGAACCUCACCUCAAUGCAUCAAACACGUUUGAUCCCAAGCAGCCUGAAAGAAUCCGGACCCACUAGAAACACAUGCCGUGGUGGUGAAUACCGGGAGAUUAC
rnacentral:lncRNA from 1 species